rnacentral:rRNA from 1 species
AACAGGAUUAGAUACCCUGGUAGUCCACGCUGUAAACGAUGUCGACUUGGAGGUUGUUCCCUUGAGGAGUGGCUUCCGGAGCUAACGCGUUAAGUCGACCGCCUGGGGCGUACGGCCGCAAGGUUAAAACUCAAAUGAAUUGACGGGGGCCCGCACAAGCGGUGGAGCAUGUGGUUUAAUUCGAUGCAACGCGAAGAACCUUACCUACUCUUGACAUCCAGAGAACUUAGCAGAGAUGCUUUGGUGCCUUCGGGAACUCUGAGACAGGUGCUGCAUGGCUGUCGUCAGCUCGUGUUGUGAAAUGUUGGGUUAAGUCCCGCAACGAGCGCAACCCUUAUCCUUUGUUGCCAGCGGUCCGGCCGGGAACUCAAAGGAGACUGCCAGUGAUAAACUGGAGGAAGGUGGGGAUGACGUCAAGUCAUCAUGGCCCUUACGAGUAGGGCUACACACGUGCUACAAUGGCAUAUACAAAGAGAAGCGACCUCGCGAGAGCAAGCGGACCUCAUAAAGUAUGUCGUAGUCCGGAUUGGAGUCUGCAACUCGACUCCAUGAAGUCGGAAUCGCCAGUAAUCGUAGAUCAGAAUGCUACGGUGAAUACGUUCCCGGGCCUUGUACACACCGCCCGUCACACCAUGGGAGUGGGUUGCAAAAGAAGUAGGUAGCUUAACCUUCGGGAGGGCGCUUACCACUUUGUGAUUCAUGACUGGGGUGAAGUCGUAACAAGGUAACC